ensembl:lncRNA LINC02269 long intergenic non-protein coding RNA 2269
CCUCUCCAAGCAUGCCAAAUUAAUCACACUUCUUAAACACAUCUCUUGACCGGGGUGUUCUCACCAUGCCCUUUCUACAAACAAAAAGUCCUACAAGAGUUGGAGCCAUCCUCUCCUCAUCUUCUACUUUCUGCCUUCUUCUGGGACACGCUAUUGAUCACGAAGUAUCUUAUCCUUGAAAAAUCUCCUCUCUUCAACUCGAGUACUACUGCAGAAAGCAGCAACUUGGCGGCCUUUUAUGGAUGGGUGUUACUGAACCCCAUAGAGAUUUCUGAGGUCUUUCUUGAGCAGGUCUGGCAGCUGAGCCCUCUUCGUCAGGAGUUCUCAAUGGCCCCCAAGGUGCCUUUGUUUCCUCAAGGGGUUUUCAUAGCAUCCUCAGCUGUGGAAGGCAAUGUAUCGCAUCCUGUAUUACCUUCCCCUGACCUCAUAGCUUCCCAAAACAGGAACAAUCAUGGGCUUUGAAGAAUGAAGAUGUGGAGACCUGGAGACAGGUGGCACCUCGUGCUUCCUCCGAAGGGAGAGCCCAUUUCCUAACAGCUGGAUCAAAGGCAUGAAAUGAACAUGGAGUCCCUGAAGAUGAAGAGAAGUUACAGGAAUGCAGAUGUGAUUCCUAUGGAUGAGGGUAACCUAGAGGCUAGAAGAACAAUAGGACAGAAGAAGCCUGGGUCCCUGAACAACCUUGUGGAGCAUAGACACCUACGUGGCCUGGACUGCCAGCUCACAAUGGGCCUCUCUGUGAGAGAAGGAAACUUCCCUCUUGUUUAAGCAACUGUGCUUUUGAGAAUCUCUUGGUCUAUACCCUAAUGAAUAAGGCCAUCAUAAAUGGAUAUCAAAGUA